AGCUCUUAAUGGGGAGAAGGAGGGCGGGGCUUUCCUUCCUGCAAUUGGGCAGCUUUUCCUGGUCCCCGCACAGGCUUUCCCGCCAUUUCUGUGCCUUUCUGCAGAACCCGAGGGGUUUAGGGGAACUGCUGUUAAGGAGUGAGUCAGCUUUGCAAGGUUCUUCCUCUGGCCCCUUUUGCAGGUUUUGCAGCUGAAAGGACAAGAGUUGGCCAUUGGAGGGAGCUGAGAGGAGAGCCGGUUUCUUCACUCAGCAACACCCGGGCUCUCUAGAAAGACUGAAAUUGCGAGUCUCAUGAAUGAAACAUCUCUGGCUGCCAUGAUUGCAAAAAAAAAAAA